AUACUGACCUGGCAGGGGAGAAUCUGUGAUCACGAAGGUGGUUUCCUCAGAGCGAGGCUUAUCCAUUGCACUCUGGAUGUGCUGACCCCUGCAGUUUCCCCAAGUGUGGGAAACUCGACUGCAUAAUUUGUAGCAGUGAAGGACUGUGUUCACACUUUCCCCUG
ensembl:snRNA U1 U1 spliceosomal RNA